CGGCGAGUGAAGCGGCAACAGCUCAAAUUUGAAAUCUGGCUCUUUUAGAGUCCGAGUUGUAAUUUGCAGAGGGCGCUUUGGCUUUGGCAGCGGUCCAAGUUCCUUGGAACAGGACGUCACAGAGGGUGAGAAUCCCGUACGUGGUCGCUGGCUAUUGCCGUGUAAAGCCCCUUCGACGAGUCGAGUUGUUUGGGAAUGCAGCUCUAAAUGGGAGGUACAUUUCUUCUAAAGCUAAAUAUUGGCCAGAGACCGAUAGCGCACAAGUAGAGUGAUCGAAAGAUGAAAAGCACUUUGGAAAGAGAGUCAAACAGCACGUGAAAUUGUUGAAAGGGAAGCGCUUGCAGCCAGACUUGCUUACAGUUGCUCAUCCGGGCUUUUGCCCGGUGCACUCUUCUGUAGGCAGGCCAGCAUCAGUUUGGGCGGUAGGAUAAAGGUCUCUGUCACGUACCUCUCUUCGGGGAGGCCUUAUAGGGGAGACGACAUACUACCAGCCUGGACUGAGGUCCGCGCAUCUGCUAGGAUGCUGGCGUAAUGGCUGUAAGCGGCCCGUCUUGAAACACGGACCAAGGAGUCUAACAUCUAUGCGAGUGUUUGGGUGUCAAGCCCGAGCGCGUAAUGAAAGUGAACGGAGGUAGGAACCCGCAAGGGUGCACUAUCGACCGAUCCUGAUGUCUUCGGAAGGAUUUGAGUAAGAGCAUGGCUGUUGGGACCCGAAAGAUGGUGAACUAUGCUUGAAUAGGGUGAAGCCAGAGGAAACUCUGGUGGAGGCUCGCAGCGGUUCUGACGUGCAAAUCGAUCGUCAAAUUUGGGCAUAGGGGCGAAAGACUAAUCGAACUAUCUAGUAGCUGGUUCCUGCCGAAGUUUCCCUCAGGAUAGCAGUAACGUAUUCAGUUUUAUGAGGUAAAGCGAAUGAUUAGAGGCCUGGGGGUCGAAAUGACCUUCACCUAUUCUCAAACUUUAAAUAUGUAAGAAGUCCUUGUUACUUAAUUGAACGUGGACAGUUGAAUGAAACGUUAUUAGUGGGCCAUUUUUGGUAAGCAGAACUGGCGAUGCGGGAUGAACCGAACG
rnacentral:rRNA from 1 species